ACGUGGGGGGCCAGCGUUGCUCGGAAUUACUGGGUGUAAAGGGUUCGUAGGCGGUGUGGCAAGUCGGGAGUGAAAUCUCUGGGCUUGACCCAGAGACUGCUUCCGAAACUGCUGUGCUUGAGUGUGGGAGAGGCGCGUGGAAUUGCAGGUGUAGCGGUGAAAUGCGUAGAUAUCUGCAGGAACACCCGUGGCGAAAGCGGCGCGCUGGACCACUACUGACGCUGAGGAACGAAAGCUAGGGGAGCAAACAGGA
rnacentral:rRNA from 1 species